rnacentral:rRNA from 1 species
AUGGCGCCUCCCGCCGCCGGCGACACCCCACCUCCUCCUCCUCCUCUGGCCGCAGAGAGCAGCGCCAGCACCGAGGAGGAGUCGCGGUGGCUGGCGGCCCUCUCCGAGCCCGAGCUCGAUUUGCUCAUCAGCCUCAAGUUGCUGGCCGUGAAGCGGGCCGAGACGGCCGGCCGCCCCCACCUCGCCGACGCGUUCGAUCUGCGCACCCUGCGGGCCCUCGGUGUUGUUUUGCUGGAAGAUUUCAAGCACCGGCUAAGAGAAGAAACCUCCCUUGAUGCAACCGUUCUUGAUAGACUUGCGCUAUCAAGGGAUCCUGUUACGGAUGUUGGUGUCGGUUGUAGCAGCAGUGAUUCCGAGGUGUUCAGGCGGCGCAGCAAAGAUCAGCCAAUAAAGCCAAGCGGUGUCAAGAGGAAACGAAAGCAGACGCAUGAUGGGCGUCAUGGAGAGGCUGUCAAAAUGAACAAGAAAAGAAGAAAAACGAGCGGGAGGAGAUAG